CUUAUAUGAACUGAAAUUCAGGGUGGAGUCAGAAGCUGAAGGUGACCAGCCUUUGCCGAUGGAUAUGGAUCAUAUCGGGGAAAAUGAUGAUGAUGAAUUUCAGGAUCAAAACAAGGAUCACAAAAUAGGUGAAAGAGGGAGUAAGGGGGCGAGCUUGAAGGGAACAUCAAAGGAUUCAGCAGGGGCAGUUAACAAGGUUUCGGAUUCUAUGCUGAACAGCAACACGACCAGUGGGAAAUCGGUGUGCGCUGGCCAUACACAGCUGGAUCUGGAACAAUCUCAGGGCACCAGUCUCUCGGUCAAUGCUGUUAGUAUUGAAAAGUUGGGCAGUAUCCCGGAGGCGUUGUCAGGAACAGUGCAAGCACUGCGUCGUAGCUCGCGCCGCUCAGAUUCGGUGAGUGAAGACUCGCUUGUUCGAGCAGUACGGCUGAAAGCGGGAUACAACCUGGACGACCAGCCGACUAAAGGUAACAAUGUUUCCUUUAUUAGUUUACCCGAUAAUUAUAUUCUUGAUUCUUUUAAAAAUAUUGGCAUUUUAGCGGGUUCUAAUCCUAGUUUAGUUGCUUCCUCUAUUGGUCAGUUGAAAAAAUUAGAGAUUAAUAGAGUUCAGGAUCAGCUAGUGGGUAAGAACAAGGCUGAAUUAUCUGAUUUUAUGGGGAAGGGAGUAGUAGAGGACGAAGAGUUUGAUCAUUUCAUUUUAAAUCAUUUGUGUGGGGAUAUUAUGAAUGAAGAGACGGAUGGCACUGAUGGGCUGAUUAAGUCAGUCUGUACAAAACCAUCUAGUCAGGGUUCGUUGUGUUCUAACAAAAAAGGUCGGGCUUGAUUAUUAAUUAAUUGUUUACCAAUGAAAGGAAUCUUUUGGAACAACAAUGGGU
rnacentral:misc_RNA from 1 species